rnacentral:rRNA from 1 species
AUUGAACGCUGGCGGCAUGCCUUACACAUGCAAGUCGGACGGUAACAGGUCUUCGGAUGCUGACGAGUGGCGAACGGGUGAGUAAUACAUCGGAACGUGCCUAGUAGUGGGGGAUAACUACUCGAAAGAGUGGCUAAUACCGCAUGAGAUCUACGGAUGAAAGCAGGGGAUCGCAAGACCUUGUGCUACUAGAGCGGCCGAUGGCAGAUUAGGUAGUUGGUGGGAUAAAAGCUUACCAAGCCGACGAUCUGUAGCUGGUCUGAGAGGACGAUCAGCCACACUGGAACUGAGACACGGCCCAGACUCCUACGGGAGGCAGCAGUGGGGAAUUUCGGACAAUGGGCGCAAGCCUGAUCCAGCAAUGCCGCGUGCAGGAUGAAGGCCUUCGGGUUGUAAACUGCUUUUGUACGGAACGAAAAGCCCUGGGUUAAUACCCUGGGGUCAUGACGGUACCGUAAGAAUAAGCACCGGCUAACUACGUGCCAGCCGCCGCCGUAAUAC